UACGUAGGCAGCGAGCGUUGUUCGGAGUUACUGGGCGUAAAGGGUGUGUAGGCGGUUGUUUAAGUUUGGUGUGAAAUCUCCCGGCUCAACUGGGAGGGUGCGCCGAAUACUGAAUGACUUCGAGUGCGGGAGAGGAGAGUGGAAUUCCUGGUGUAGCGGUGAAAUGCGCAGAUAUCAGGAGGAACACCGGUGGCGAAGGCGGGUCUCUGGGCAGUAACUGACGCUGAGGAGCGAAAGCGUGGGGAGCAAACAGG
rnacentral:rRNA from 1 species